rnacentral:rRNA from 1 species
UACGGAGGGAGCGUAGCGUUGUUUCGGAAAUACUGGGCGUAAAGCGCACGUAGGCGGCGCAGCAAGUCAGGGGUGAAAUCCCGGGGCUCAACCUCGGAACUGCCUUUGAUACUGCAAAUCUCGAGUCCGGAAGAGGUGAGUGGAAUUCCUAGUGUAGAGGUGAAAUUCGUAGAUAUUAGGAAGAACACCAGUGGCGAAAGGCGGCUCACUGGUCCGGUACUGACGCUGAGGUGCGAAAGCGUGGGGAGCAAACAGG